rnacentral:rRNA from 1 species
ACACUCCUGCGGGAGGCAGCAGUGGGGAAUUUUGGACAAUGGGCGAAAGCCUGAUCCAGCAAUGCCGCGUGCAGGAUGAAGGCCUUCGGGUUGUAAACUGCUUUUGUACGGAACGAAAAAGCUCCUUCUAAUACAGGGGUCCCAUGACGGUACCGUAAGAAUAAGCACCGGCUAACUACGUGCCAGCAGCCGCGGUAAUACGUAGGGUGCGAGCGUUAAUCGGAAUUACUGGGCGUAAAGCGUGCGCAGGCGGUUAUGUAAGACAGAUGUGAAAUCCCCGGGCUCAACCUGGGAACUGCAUUUGUGACUGCAUGGCUAGAGUACGGUAGAGGGGGAUGGAAUUCCGCGUGUAGCAGUGAAAUGCGUAGAUAUGCGGAGGAACACCGAUGGCGAAGGCAAUCCCCUGGACCUGUACUGACGCUCAUGCACGAAAGCGUGGGGAGCAAACAGGAUUAGAAACCCCAGUAGUCCC